rnacentral:misc_RNA from 1 species
AGCAAUACUCUCUAUUGCAAAAAGGUGUAGUUUUUGUGACCUGAGAUUGAAAGCAGGGGGAAAAUUUGGUUUAAAAUGUUUCUAUUGGUUUUCCUUUUGACGUAGCCCUUCAGCAUCAUGAAAUUAAAGUGUUAUUAUGGUCCCUUUUUAAGCUGGUCAUAGUUUUUACCAAGAUAUUUAAUUUUUAAAAUGAUCUUACAUUGGUUGUUGAUCUUUUCAACUUCCAGCCAAUUAUCUAGUGAGUGGGAG